rnacentral:rRNA from 1 species
CCUACGGGUGGCAGCAGUGAGGAAUAUUGGUCAAUGGCCGGAAGGCUGAACCAGCCAAGCCGCGUGAAGGACGAAGGUGCCACGCAUUGUAAACUUCUUUUGUCAAGGAACAAAAUCAGGCUCGAGAGCCUGACCGUGGGUACUUGAAGAAAAAGCAUCGGCUAACUCCGUGCCAGCAGCCGCGGUAAUACGGAGGAUGCGAGCGUUAUCCGGAUUUAUUGGGUUUAAAGGGUGCGUAGGCGGACGGUUAAGUCAGCGGUAAAAGCCCGGGGCUCAACCCCGGCGCGCCGUUGAAACUGGGUGUCUUGAGAUGGCGAGGGGUAGGCGGAAUGCGUAGUGGAGCGGUGAAAUGCUUAGAUAUUGCGCAGAACUCCGAUUGCGAAGGCAGCAUACCGGCGGCGAACUGACGCUGAGGCACGAAAGCGUGGGUAUCGAACAGGAUUAGAUACCCUUGUAGUC